rnacentral:lncRNA from 1 species
GACCAUCAUUCCUUCACAAGAGAGAAGCGACCGCCAUCUUGUGAAGCCAUCAUAUCUAUCCUAAUACAAGCUCACCACCGAGUCUUGUAUCAUCUGGUAUCAGAGCCUCACGCUCUUCCCUUGCCAGGUUUACCUUUUCCAUCUUCCUUUGAUAGUUUUGAUUUCUAGUUUUGUUUUAUUUAAUUUUCAAAAAAAAAAAAAAAUAAGAACCCUAGUUUGUUGCAGCCUUGUUUCUAUAGGUUGUUUAGUUUUAUAUUUCCUUAACAAAAAAAAAAAAAAUUCGUCACUAUUCUUUCCUUAAAUCGUCUGCUUCAGUCUUUGAUUCAGUUUAUAUACUAGUUCAAGGUUUUCGUCAAAAAAAAAAAACUUAUUUCUUUUUUAAAAUUUUUGUGUCAUUAUCUUUGUUAGCUAGUAUUGUUUAAGUAUCUUAAAACUUAUUUAAAAAAAAAAGUUUUCAUUUUCUUGUCUAAUUCAGCACGUGCAUCAGUUUCUUAUUUCUAAAGUUUUCAUUUUCGAUUUCUGUGGUACGUUGAUUUUCUUUGUUGUUUUUGUUUAAGAGCAGGAUACUUUUAAACAAUCAUAAU